AUUGAACGCUGGCGGCAUGCUUUACACAUGCAAGUCGAACGGUAACAGGCCUUCGGGCGCUGACGAGUGGCGAACGGGUGAGUAAUGCAUCGGAACGUGCCCAGUCGUGGGGGAUAACUAUCCGAAAGGAUAGCUAAUACCGCAUACGAUCUGCGGAUGAAAGCGGGGGACCUUCGGGCCUCGCGCGAUUGGGGCGGCCGAUGUCAGAUUAGGUAGUUGGUGGGGUAAAGGCUCACCAAGCCAACGAUCUGUAGCUGGUCUGAGAGGACGACCAGCCACACGGGGACUGAGACACGGCCCAGACUCCUACGGGAGGCAGCAGUGGGGAAUUUUGGACAAUGGGCGCAAGCCUGAUCCAGCAAUGCCGCGUGCAGGAAGAAAGCCUUCGGGUUGUAAACUGCUUUUGUACGGAACGAAACGGCUCUGGUUAAUACCCGGGGCUAAUGACGGUACCGUAAGAAUAAGCACCGGCUAACUACGUGCCAGCCGCCGCGGUAACAC
rnacentral:rRNA from 1 species